rnacentral:rRNA from 1 species
AUAGCUAGUUGCAUCGAUGUUUAAAUAAUUGAUGUGAUAUCGACUAUGUCGAAUAAAAUUCUAGGUAGAGUUAUGAUAAUGACAUUGUCUGCCUAUGUGUCUUGACCAAAUUACGUGCCAGCAGUCGCGGUAAUACGUAGAAGACUAGUGUUAUUCAUCUUUAAUAGGUUUAAAGGGUACCUAGACGGUAUAUCAAGCCUGCAAUACGGGACUAAUGUACUAGAGUUACUUACGAGGGGGUAUUAAAGUACUGCUGGUGUAGAGAUGAAAUUCUGUCAUACCUCAUUUCGUAAGAAAUACUACGGCACAGGUAUAGGCGAAAGCAUCCCCUUAUGUGAUAACUGACGUUGAAGGACGAAGGCUUUGUGUAGCGAACAGGAUUAGAUACCCCAAUAGUCAAAGCAGAAAAUGAUGAAUGUCAUAGAUUAGACAUAUAGUUUAUUCUAUAAAUGAAAGUGUAAGCAUUCCACCUCAAGAGUAAUUUGGCAACAUUGGAACUGAAAUCAUUAGACCGUUUCUGAAACCAGUAGUGAAGUAUGUUGUUUAAUUUGAUAAUCCGCAAAAAACCUUACCACAAUUUGAAUAUUUAGAUUUUAAUUUUCUUUUUUUUUUUUUU